rnacentral:rRNA from 1 species
UACGAAGGGGGCUAGCGUUGCUCGGAAUCAUUGGGCGUAAAGAGCGCGCAGGCGGUCGUUCAAGUCGCGUGUGAAAGCCCCCGGCUCAACUGGGGAGGGUCACGCGAUACUGAUCGACUCGAAGGCAGGAGAGGGUAGUGGAAUUCCCGGUGUAGUGGUGAAAUGCGUAGAUAUCGGGAGGAACAUCAGUGGCGAAGGCGGCUACCUGGCCCAAUACUGACACUCAGGUGCGACAGCGUGGGGAGCAAACAGG